rnacentral:sRNA from 2 species
GACUAGCUGAGAGCGGGGUAUCUCUUUUCCCAUCACAGGUUCUAGUGCAUGAGAAAAAGGAGAGAGUCGUCUUCCUAUAGCUGGCAUCUGCUUCGGAAUGUAUCGUAGAUCACAAACGGUGUAAAGGUGUUGAUUUCGCUUUUAUCACAGGUGCAUCGAACUGCGUAUAAGGGGACAGAAUGACAGAAACUCGUCCCCCGUAGCUGCUUCUUCGAUACAAGCUAGCGAUGGCGAUGUAUCAAAGUCAGCUAAGGCGGUCAAUGGUAGGGGAAUGCGGGCCGAAGGCGACAGAAGCGGGAAGGCGCUCCUAGUCUAAGACAGGUGGUAGCAGGAAGAGGCAUAUUUCUAUUGAUGUUCAGUUCUGUUUAUAACUAACUAGCCGUCUGUCCGGUAGGAUAAUGGCAGAAUGGGGCCGAUGUUCUCCAGCUUGUGUGAGCCGUGGGGAAGAAGUAAACGUAUGAUUACCCAGAAAGGGCAACAAUUAGUUACGCCAGUUGACAGAUCAUGGCAGGCAGAUUAGAUUUCUGACUGAAACCAUGAGUGGUUAUCUUGUUUAUUCGUGUGUACUUGGUCAUUUCAUAUUGUUAUGAGAAAGUGAAGU